GCCUGGGUAGCUCAGUCGGUUAAGCGUCUGAUUCGGCUCAGGUCUUGAUCUCAUGGUUCGUGGGUUCAAGCCCCACGUCGGGCU
rnacentral:tRNA from 1 species